rnacentral:rRNA from 1 species
GCAAGUCGAACGGUAAGGUCUCUUCGGAGAUACACGAGUGGCGCACGGGUGAGGAACACGUACACAAUCUACCUUAUACAGGAGGAUAGCCCCGGGAAACUGGGAUUAAUACUCCAUAGUCUUCAAUGAUCGCAUGAUCGAUGAAGUAAAGCUCCGGCGGUAUAAGAUGAGUGUGCGUCCCAUUAGAUUGUUGGUGAGGUAACGGCUCACCAAGUCGACGAUGGGUAGCUGGCGUGAGAGCGCGACC